rnacentral:rRNA from 1 species
GACGAACGCUGGCGGCGUGCUUAACACAUGCAAGUCGAACGGAAAGACCCUGCUGUUGUGGGUUUCUCGAGUGGCGAACGGGUGAGUAACACGUGAGUAACCUGCCCUUUACUUUGGGAUAACUUCAGGUAACUGGGGCUAAUACCGGAUAGGAGCUCCUGCUGCAUGGUGUGGGUUGGAUAGUUUCGGGGGUUGGGGAUGGGCUCGCGGCUUAUCAGCUUAUUGGUGUGGUAGUGGCUUACCAAGGUUUUGACGGGUAGCCGGCCUGAGAGGGUGACCGGCGAUAAUGGGACCGACGGGAGGCAGCGGUGGGGAAGGGAGGGAAAAGGGGGGAAGAUUGAAGAAGGGGCGGAAGGCGGAUGAAGAAAGGCCGCGGGCGGGAGGACGGUUUUCGGGGGGUAAAACGCAUUAGACUGUGAAGAAGCGUGAGUUAACGUAACGGGUAAAGAAAGACCCGGCAAACACCGGG